CCUACGGGAGGCAGCAGUGGGGAAUAUUGGGCAAUGGGCGCAAGCCUGACCCAGCAACGCCGCGUGAAGGAAGAAGGCUUUCGGGUUGUAAACUUCUUUUGUCAGGGAAGAGUAGAAGACGGUCCCUGCCGAAUAAGCCACGGCUAACUACGUGCCAGCCGCCGCGGUUAUACGUAGGUGGCACGUGUUGUCCGGAUGUACUGGGUGUACAGGGCGUGUAGCCGGGUUGACAAGGCAGAUGUGAAAGCCUGCGGGUCAACCUCAGAACUGCAGUUGAAACUGGGGAUCUUGAGUACUGGAGAGGCAUACGGAAUUCCUGGUGUAGCGGUGAAAUGCGUAGAUAUUAGGAGGAACACCAGUGGCGAAGGCGGUCUGCUGGGCAGCAACUGACGGUGAGGCGCGAAAGCGUGGGGAGCAAACAGGAUUAGAUACCCGUGUAGUC
rnacentral:rRNA from 1 species